ACAGUCUAUGCGCCUUGUUAGAUUCACCCCACAGUGAUAGCGGCAGAGCUGGCAGCGGACAGUUCUGGCUUUGGCCUCCGGCAGGCCCCUCACUGGAGCGGGAAGCUGGUAAAAGUUUCAUUUGAUCUGAAUACUAUUCAAAUAAAAUACCUGGAUGAGGAAAAUGAAGAGGUAUCCAUCAACAGUCAAGGAGAAUAUGAAGAAGCACUUAAGGUAAUGAUUAUUUAAUCUCAUUUUCAAAUAAUUUAAUAUUAUGGGUUAUUGUUUUUUUUUUAAACAGGGUUGUGCUCUGUCAUCCAGGCUGGCGUGCAGUGGCACAAUCUGGGGUUGCUGCAAC